GAUGAACGCUGGCGGCGUGCCUAAUACAUGCAAGUCGAGCGAACGGACGAGAAGCUUGUUUCUCUGAUGUUAGCGGCGGACGGGUGAGUAACACGUGGAGAACCUACCUAUAAGACGGGGAUAACUUCGGGAAACCGGUGCUAAUACCGGAUAAUAUUUUUAACCGCAUGGUUUAAGAGUGAAAGACGGUCUUGCUGUCACUUAUAGAUGUAUCCGCUCUUCAUUCGCUGGUGGUGAGGGUAACGGCUUACCAAGGGAACGAUGCAUAGCCGACCUGAGGGGGUGCUGCGCCACUGUGGCACUGAGACACGCUCCAGACUCCUGCGGGAGGCAGCUGUAGGGACUCCUCCGAAAUGGGCGAGAGCCUGCCGGAGCAGCGCCGCGUGAGUGAUGAAGGUCUUCGGCUCGUAACUCUCUGUUAUUAGAGAAGAACAUAUGUGUAAGUAAAGGUGCACAAGUUGCCGGUACCUAACAAGAAGGCAACGCCUAACUCCGU
rnacentral:rRNA from 1 species